GCCUACAAAAGGUUAAGAAAAGUUUGAUGAAAACAUCUUUUUAUCAAGAUCAAUUCAUGAUUUUAUUGUUGAGGAUAUUAUGACAAAUAAUUUGAAAGUAAAAAGUUCCAUAAAUUAUUCAAAUAUUUUGACAUUGAUGGCAAUAUGUUUUCUUUAAAGAGUUUUUGAUAAAAUUUAAGUCAUGUGACCUUGUAUACAAUCCAUCUCUAUGGAGAUUUUCAAAACAGCAUUUCAUUAAAAUACAAAGGUCUUUGUUGUUUAGCACUAAAUAUUUAGUUUAUUUAUUCUUGCACGCCAGAUUGAGGAAAAUGAGGUUAAAAAAAAUACUCUGUUUAUUUGUUCCACUUCCACAAAAACUUUGUUUGAAAAAUACUUUUUGACUUGCUCUUUGGAUAAAUUAUCCUUUAUGAUGUCCAAUGUAUACCACACAUACAUCUAGUUUUCAAAUUGAUAUGAGAUAUUUGUUUUACUAAAGCAAGCUCCAUUCAUUAGCACCUGAAAUUAAAUCAAAAUUUUAAAAUAACAGUAUGGAUCUGGCAAUCUGCAGACGCCAAUACAAGGCCGUAACUAGGCAUCUUAUUUUAGUGAGGCGAAAUAUUUUUUUGGAGGGUAUGAAAUGAAGGGUGCAAAAUCCUGCAUUCUAGGCAUUUUUAGAGAGUUUGAUAAUGUUUUGAAUUUAGACAUUUUUUAUAUAAAUUUUUCAUAUUUUAAGACUUUUAACUACUCACACCAAAUUUUUAACAACUUUAUUUAAAUUUAUAUGUAAGAUAAUCAUCCAAAUAUCACUGAUUUGAGUCUGCUGCCAGAACAUAGAACAAACAUCGAUUCAGUAGAGUUUGUCAAAUU
rnacentral:lncRNA from 1 species